rnacentral:misc_RNA from 1 species
GAUGAAGAACGUAGCGAAAUGCGAUAAGUAAUGUGAAUUGCAGAAUUCAGUGAAUCAUCGAAUCUUUGAACGCACAUUGCGCCCGCCAGUAUUCUGGCGGGCAUGCCUGUUCGAGCGUCAUUUCAACCAUCAAGCCCCAGGCUUGUGUUGGGGACCUGCGGCUGCCGCAGGCCCUGAAAACCAGUGGCGGGCUCGCUGUCACACCGGGCGUAGUAGAUUUUAUCUCGCUCAGGGCGUGCUGCGGGUUCCGGCCGUUAAAAAGCCUUUUUUACCCAAGGUUGACCUCGGAUCAGGUAGGAAUACCCGCUGAACUUAAGCAUAUCAAUAAGCGGAGG